GACGAACGCUGGCGGCGUGCCUAAUACAUGCAAGUCGAACGGUCUUUUCUAUGGAAGCUUGCUUCCACUGAGAAGAUAGUGGCGAACGGGUGAGUAACACGUGGGUAACCUGCCCAUAAGAGGGGGAUAACAUCCGGAAACGGGUGCUAAUACUGAAUAGUUUUCUUGAUCGCAUGAUUGAGAAAGGAAAGACGGCCUUUGUGCUGUCGCUUAUGGAUGGACCCGCGGCGUAUUAGUUAGUUGGUGAGGUAACGGCUCACCAAGACGAUGAUACGAAGCCGACGUGAGAGGGUGAUCGGCCACAUUGGGACUGAGACACGGCCCAAACUCCUACGGGAGGCAGCAGUAGGGAAUCUUCCGCAAUGGACGAAAGUCUGACGGAGCAACGCCGCGUGAGUGAAGAAGGUUUUCGGAUCGUAAAACUCUGUUGUCAGAGAAGAACAAGUCGGAGAGUAACUGCUCCGGCCUUGACGGUAUCUGACCAGAAAGCCACGGCUAACUACGUGCCAGCCGCCGCGGUAACAC
rnacentral:rRNA from 1 species